GAUGAACGCUGGCUACAGGCUUAACACAUGCAAGUCGAGGGGAAACGACGGGGAAGCUUGCUUCCCCGGGCGUCGACCGGCGCACGGGUGAGUAACGCGUAUCCAACCUGCCUCUGACUGAGGGAUAACCCGUCGAAAGUCGGCCUAAUACCUCAUGGCAUCGUCUGCGGGCAUCCAACGACGAUUAAAGAUUUCAUCGGUCAGGGAUGGGGAUGCGUCUGAUUAGCUUGUUGGCGGGGUAACGGCCCACCAAGGCUACGAUUAGUAGGGGUUCUGAGAGGAAGGUCCCCCACAUUGGAACUGAGACACGGUCCAAACUCCUACGGGAGGCAGCAGUGAGGAAUAUUGGUCAAUGGGCGGGAGCCUGAACCAGCCAAGUAGCGUGCAGGAGGACGGCCCUAUGGGUUGUAAACUGCUUUUAUGCGGGGAUAAAGUGAGGGACGUGUCCUUCAUUGCAGGUACCGCAUGAAUAAGGACCGGCUAAUUCCGUG
rnacentral:rRNA from 1 species